CUUGGUCAUUUAGAGGAAGUAAAAGAAAAACAAGGUCUCCGUUGGUGAACCAGCGGAGGGAUCAUUACCGAGUUUACAACUCCCAAACCCCUGUGAACAUACCUAUCGUUGCUUCGGCGGGAUCGCCCCGGCGCCAUCGCGGCCCGGACCCAGGCGCCCGCCGGAGGACCCAAACUCUUGAAUUUAUGAAGUAUCUUCUGAGUAAACAAGCAAAUAAAUUAAAACUUUCAACAACGGAUCUCUUGGUUCUGGCAUCGAUGAAGAACGCAUCGAAAUGCGAUAAGUAAUGUGAAUUGCAGAAUUCCGUGAAUCAUCGAAUCUUUGAACGCACAUUGCGCCCGCCAGUAUUCUGGCGGGCAUGCCUGUUCGAGCGUCAUUUCAACCCUCAAGCCCCUGGGCUUGGUGUUGGGGCUCGGCCCGUCCCUCGCGGCGCGCCGUCCCCGAAAUCUAGUGGCGGUCUCGCUGCAGCCUCCCCUGCGUAGUAGCUAACACCUCGCAACGGGAACUGAGCGCGGCCACGCCGUUAAACCCCAACUUCUGAAGGUUGACCUCGGAUCAGGUAGGAAUACCCGCUGAACUUAAGCAUAUCAAUAAGCGGAGGAAA
rnacentral:rRNA from 1 species